rnacentral:rRNA from 1 species
GAUGAACGCUGGCGGCGUGCCUAAUACAUGCAAGUCGAGCGAAGCGGGGACGGGUGAGUAACACGUGGAUAACCUCCUAUAAGACUGGGUAAACUUGGGGAACCCGAACCAAACCCGAUAACUAAAGAUUGAAUCGCCGCUGAAUUAGCUAGUUGGUAAGGUAACGGCUUACAAAGGCAACGAUGCAUAGCCGACCUGAGAGGGUGAUCGGCCACACUGGAACGGAGACACGGUCCAGACGCCUACGGGAGGCAGCAGUAGGGAAUCUUCCGCAAUGGGCGAAAGCCUGACGGAGCAACGCCGCGUGAGUGAUGAAGGUCUUCGGAUCGUAAAACUCUGUUAUUAGGGAAGCGGUACCUAAUCAGAAAGCCACGGCUAACUACGUGCCAGCAGCCGCGGUAAUUC